rnacentral:rRNA from 1 species
AGAGUUUGAUCAUGGCUCAGAAUCAACGCUGGCGGCGCGCUUAACACAUGCAAGUCGAACGAGAAAGGGAGCAAUCCUGAGUAAAGUGGCGUACUGGUGAGUAACACGUGGAUAUCUACCUCUUGGUGGGGAAUAACCUGGAGAAACCUGGGCUAAUACCGCAUAAGUUCGUGAGAAGAAAGGCGCAAGUCGCCGAGAGAGGAGUCCGCGGUCGAUUAGGUAGUUGGCGGGGUAAGAGCCCACCAAGCCAAAGAUCGAUAGCCGGCCUGAGAGGGCACACGGCCACACUGGCACUGAAACACGGGCCAGACUCCUACGGGAGGCAGCAGUGGGGAAUCUUGCACAAUGGGGGAAACCCUGAUGCAGCGACGCCGCGUGAGCGAUGAAGCCCUUCGGGGUGUAAAGCUCUUUCGGCAGGAACGAUAAUGACGGUACCUGCAGAAGAAGCUGCGGCUAACUACGUGCCAGCAGCCGCGGUAAUACGUAGGCAGCAAGCGUUGUUCGGAAUUACUGGGCGUAAAGAGUGUGUAGGUGGUGUCGUAAGUUUGGUGUGAAAUCUCCCGGCUUAACUGGGAGGGUGCGCCGAAGACUGCGAUGCUGGAGUAUGGGAGAGGAAAGCGGAAUUCCUGGUGUAGCGGUGAAAUGCGUAGAUAUCAGGAGGAACACCUGCGGUGUAGACGGCUUUCUGGACCAUUACUGACACUGAGACACGAAAGCGUGGGUAGCAAACAGGAUUAGAUACCCUAGUAGUCC